UCACGGCUUGUGCUUGGAGAGCUGGCUGCCAUGGAGUGCGGGCGGUCUUGCGGAGAAGCCACGUGACGGGCUGGGAAAGCGGAUCUUCUGCGGCCUGCCAGCAGCUAGAGAGGGAAUCUGAUGCUCCCCGGGCAAACCUCGGAAUGACCACUGCCAGCACUGAUGCCUUAAUUGCAGCCUCGUGGAACCUGAGUCACCAAGGACCACACUGAGACAGGAUGGGAUGUCAUGAAGCUCAAGGAGGCCCCGCAACGGCGUGGACGGAUGAAACAGAAAAGAGGAAGAAGAAAGCCAGAGUCCAGAUGGGAAAGAGACAAAUUGCAGGACAGCAUCCAAAAAGAUAACAGACAAGCCACGUGGAGUAACCCCAGCUCUUGGGAGGUAGAAGCAGGAGGGCCAGGAAUUCAAGUUCAUCCUUGGCUACGUAGAUGACUUUGGAAGGAGUCUACGUGAAAGUGGAACCUGGCACUUGGAAACUGACUUAAAAGCGUGACAAGAACCGGGCCCUUCACUGUGCCUCAGAUCUUCUUUGUCUGAGCUCAUCCAGUUUUGCUGGUCAGUGAGGCCCGGGAGGCCCUGACUCCGGUUCCCCAGCUCUGGUGUUAUAGGGGCUCCCAUCACACCCAGCCUUUAACGUGGGCUCCAAGGUUCUCAUGUGUUCACUGUAAGUGCUUUAUGCACAGACCCAUCGCCUCACACCCCCACCCCCACUUCUGUUUUUGCUGGGCUGUUUCUUUUUCCCUCUUUAGACAAAGCUCAAGGCUUGGUGGGCUCCAGGCCAUGUCUCUGUGCACCUCUGUCCAAGCCUGUUGGGAAGGAAAAGCAGAUGGACUUUAAUGAACCCUGCUGGCUUGGUGGUUGAGGACGCCUGCAACUAGGGCCACCGAGCACAUUAUAAUUGUCCUCUGGCAAAUGAGCCAACGGGUGCAAUAGUGGCAUGCUUGUCGUGGUGGAAACCA